CUCCUCUCUUUGUCUUCACUUCUCGUCUUUUCUCUUCUCUUCUCUCUGUCUUCUCUUCUCUCUGUGUCUUCUCUCUUUGUCUCUUCUCUUCUCUUCUCUUCUCUUUUUGUGUCUUCUCUUCUCAUCUCUUCUCUCUGUGUCUUCUCUUCUCUUCCCUCUUUGUGUCUCUUUUUGUGUCUUCUCUUCUCAUCUCUUCUCUCUGUGUCUUCUCUUCUCUUCCCUCUUUGUGUCUUCUCUUCUCCUCUCUUUGUCUUCACUUCUUGUCUUUUCUCUUCUAUUCUCUCUUUGUCUUUUCUGUUCUCUUCUCAUCUCUCUAUGUCUUCUCUUCUCUUCUCUUCUCUUCUCUUCUCUUCUCUGUUUGUGUCUUCUCUUCUCAUCUCUUCUCUUCUCUCUGUGUCUUCUCUUCUCUCUGUGUCUUCUCUUCUCUUCUCUUCUCUUCUCUUCUCUUCUCUUCUCUUCUCUUCUCUCUGUGUCUUCUCUUCUCUCUGUGUCUUCUCUUCCCUCUGUGUCUUCUCUUCUCUUCUCUUCUCUCUGUGUCUUCUCUUCUGUUCUCUUCUGUUCUCUUCUCUUCUCUCUGUGUCUUCUCUUUUCUGUGUCUUCUCUUCCCUCUGUGUCUUCUCUUCUCUUCUCUUCUCUUCUCUUCUCUUCUCUUCUCUUCUCUUCUCUUCUCUCUGUGUCUUCUCUUCCCUCUGUGUCUUCUCUUCUCUUCUCUCUGUGUCUUCUCUUCUGUUCUCUGUUUGAGUCUUCUCUUCUCUCUGUGUCUUCUCUUCUCUUCUCUUCUCUUCUCUUCUCUUCUCUUCUCUCUGUGUCUUCUCUUCUGUUCUCUGUUUGAGUCUUCUCUUCUCUCUGUGUCUUCUCUUCUUUUUUGUUCUCUGUUUGAGUCUUCUCUUCUCUCUUUGUGUCUUCUCGUCUUCUAUUUUCUUUUUUCUGUGUCUUCUCUUCUCUUCGCUUCUUCCUUUGUGUCUUCUCUCCUUGGUUCGGGUGAAUUCUCUACAUGUACC
ensembl:lncRNA